GUGAGGAUUCGAAUGUUGUCAAUCCAUUUCACACAAGGAGAACAAGGAAAAGAAACAGGGAGAAUCAAGAAUUGAAGGCAGACGAUUGUACAGCAUUUUCAUCACUUCUCUGAGCUGAAGAGGCAGAUGAGGCAGUGCAGGGUGGAGCUGCAGAGGGGAGAGGAGAUCCAGAGGCGUACCGUGGAGAGACGGAGGGAGUGUCUGGCACUACACUUCACUGACUGGAGGCGCCAAGCCGACCACACAUUCUCUCUGCACCUGGUGCGGAAUGCUCUACUCAGCUUCAAGGAGGUCCUUCAUUCCAGAAGUUUAUAUGAUCAGUUGGCCUGGGACCUGAACACCGAUGAUGCUGGCACACCUGACUCACUACAGCAAGACCAAUUUGUCCAUUAUGUGUGUCAGUAUGUCUAGGGGCUCUCUGAGGAGCAGUUCCAGCUGUUUCUGGAACAUCUCUCCCUGUGUAGCCGGGAACACGGCUGUGCUGAGAAUUUGAGGCACUGGACAGAGACACUCUCUCAGGCCUCUUCCCACUGUGACUGUGCUAAGACUGGGUGUCUGGACCUAUAGAGUGUUGUUCCUUCUGCUGAGUUUCUAUCAUGAUCAGAAUGAGAGCACACAGGAGUCCAUGCAUGAUCUUAACAACUAGAAGCAGAGGAUCCUGGGUCAUGCUGGACAAUGUGGGCCUAUGAAAGUGAAGCGGUGAGCCAAGGGCAGUUCCUGCAGCUUGGGCUCAGCUUCCUGGGCAUAGCAUCCAGUGGCGCUAUGGUGGACAGCCUGGCUGGACACAUCAAAGCUGGCUACAGAGACAAAGAGAGCGAGACACUGUGCCGGCUGCAGCAGCAUGGUGAGCCACCUCUCUCCAGCUGCUCUGUCAUCUCUCUGGGACAAUUCCAGGCCUUACUGAGGGCUUUCCUGGUGGAGCUGCGAGGGGGCAAGGACAGGGUAGAGGGGCAACCAGGCAGGCCUGGCUGCAGGGGAUUGGGAGAGCAGCCCAAAGAGGUUCAGCCCAGAUGGAGCCUGUUUAUGGGGACGUGUUUAGCGCCGUGCUCAGACCACACUGUGUGUGGCAGGCAGGAUGGUGUGGCAGGAUGGUGUGGCAGGAUGCAGAGGUGAAUGUGGAGGGGAAGCUGUUGAGUGUCUCUGUAGCCCUGCUGGAGGAAGAGGGCUCUAGGCAGCGUUAUGUGGCCUAUACUACUACUGAGGAUGCCCGGCUGGUUCUCAACAAGAUGCCCCAGCCACACCAGGCCCCUGUCAGGGCGGUGACUACUCUCUGAGGAAGAUGAUGGUGAUGGAGGGUGGUUCUAGUCGCUCCCAUUGGCUCUCCCCUCCUCCUACCUUAUGCCGCUCAGAUCACUUCUCCAGUGCUGUGACACCUCCCAGAUUGGGCACUAUGUGUUGUUUGGGGCGUACUGGUGCUCCCUGUGAGGGACACAGCUGGAUGGGCCCUGGGAGUGGUGGACAUGGAGUUAGAAACCCUCUCACCGGGCCACCAGGGGGGGCUGCAGCCUCACGAGCGCAGGGACCUGUCUGCUGCAGGGGCUGCCUGUGUUCAGCUGUACAGAGCGAGCCUGAGCGGAGCAGGCAACACACUGCUGGGUGAGAGGCAUGGUGGUAGGGGAAAGAGGCGGAGGCCCUGGGAGGGGAGCGGCGGGCGUCCAUCUUGUUCCUAUGUUUCACACUGGAGCACCUGCGCCAUCGCUGUCUGUCCUGACUGGACCAACCAAUUAUAGUGGAGCUCCUUAGCUCCCAGGAUACACCUCACCACCUCCCUGUCAGUCAAGGUGUGAAGGUGGUGCUUCUAGUGCUGUACCCUGAGAGGAAGGGCUCUGUCCAUGUAGACGAUUGGGGCCAAAUUAAGAAGAUGGUGAGCUCUGACCUGGGCUACAGGCUGGCCAGGUUUGACCCCUUAGCCAAGGCAGUGAGAGUGGACAGGGAGCUGGUCCACAGCUGCAUAGCAGGACUACCUGGCAUGAUGACUCCUUGCUGUCCCCAGUCCACCUGGCCGUGCUGCUGCUCCAGUUUCAACUUUUCCGCCUGCGGCUAUAGAACCCUGACCUGUUCACCAGACAUGCUACCUGUCCCAGACCUGCUGUUUUCAACUCUCUAGAGAGUGGUAGAGAUACUCUCAAUGAUCGGCUAUGAAAAGCCAACUGACAUUUACUCUUGAG
rnacentral:lncRNA from 1 species